rnacentral:rRNA from 1 species
UAGUCCACGCCGUAAACGAUGAGUACUAGCUAUUGGGGGUAUUGACUCCCUCAGUGGCGCAGCUAACGCAUUAAGUACUCCGCCUGGGAAGUACGGUCGCAAGACUAAAACUCAAAGGAAUUGACGGGGGCCCGCACAAGCGGUGGAGUAUGUGGUUUAAUUCGAAGCAACGCGCAGAACCUUACCUACCCUUAACAUUUCACGCUCGCCUCAGAGAUGAGGUUUUCUCUUCGGAGACGUGAGGAUAGGUGCUGCAUGGCUGUCGUCAGCUUGUGUCGUAAGAUGUCUGGUUAAGUCCAAUAACGAGCGCAACCCUUAUCCUUAGUUACCAGCAUUGAGUUGGGGACUCUAGGGAGACUGCCGGUGUUAAACCGGAGGAAGGCGGGGAUGACGUCAAGUCCUCAUGGCCCUUACGGGUAGGGCUAUACACGUACUACAAUGGCAGAAACAAACCGAAGCGAUAUUGCGAGAUGGAGCUAAACGGUAAAACACUGUCUCAGUCCGGAUUGAAGUCUGCAA